CGCGUGGCUAGGGGCGAGACCAACCCGGCUUGGGCGUGUUUUGUGAUGGGAAGGGAGCAGUCUCACGGGCAUGAAAGAACAACAGUUUGGAUGCCACAUGAGACUGAACGCUGAGGAAUGGGAUGAAAUCAGAGACUUGAUGUUCCAGAUGUGAGCUCUCAGCUGUUCCCGAUACUCUGCUGCUCCAAAAGCAUUGACUCUAAUCAUUUGGAAUCAUUGGCCCCCAAUUAAACAUUUUCUCGUAUAAA